rnacentral:tRNA from 1 species
GUCUUCGUGGUGUAACGGUAGCAUACUCGGCACGUAUUCGAGAGGUCCAGGUUCGAAUCCCGGCGAGAGCA